UGAUCAAAUUCUUGUUUGUGAUGUAGCCCGACAGGCGAUGCUAGUGGCUUUGCCAGCGUGGAGAAGGCGCAUCCCGGGAGUCUGACGCCCAUGCUCGGCGACAAAAAGGUGGAGCACUUUCUGGGCAUCAAACGAAGCGCCCAGUUCGGAGGCAUGCCGCCUCUGCCGCCAAAGAAGCCUAAGAACUGAGGUUGCAGCGGAGUGGAGUGAACAGGAACCAGCGGCAGCUCUAUAGCGAGUAUGCAAUCUUGGAGCAGAUUAUGAGUCACCGACAUGGACGGAAGGCGCCAAACGUCCUCGGAUGCGCUGAAAUGUACUAAUAACCUGUAAAUUUGCACCCUAAACCGAUUGUUUUGAUGGUGACACACACACAGAGAUGGUGUAACUUGUAACGCAACGAUGUUUCUAUCCAUGCACGCUCUAAAAGUUGCAGAGAGAAGCAUGCUUGCUAACCUUUAUGUGGAAAGUGAUGCAAGUUGUAGCUACGCACUCCUCUGUUCUUAGGAUUUCUUUUCCAUGACAAACAUUACAAUAGCAUGCUUAAUGUUUUUUUUUGA